GACAGGCAGACAGGUAGACAGGCAGACAGGUAGACAGGUAGACAGGUAGACAGGUAGACAGGUAGACAGGUAGACAGGCAGACAGGCAGACAGGUAGACAGGUAGACAGGCAGACAGGCAGACAGGUAGACAGGUAGACAGGCAGACAGGUAGACAGGUAGACAGGCAGACAGGCAGACAGGCAGACAGGUAGACAGGUAGACAGGCAGACAGGUAGACAGGUAGACA